CUCGUAGGCGGCUUGUCGCGUCGUCCGUGAAAACCUGCGGCUCAACUGCAGGCUUGCGGUCGAUACGGGCAGGCUAGAGUUCGGUAGGGGAGACUGGAAUUCCUGGUGUAGCGGUGAAAUGCGCAGAUAUCAGGAGGAACACCGGUGGCGAAGGCGGGUCUCUGGGCCGACACUGACGCUGAGGAGCGAAAGCGUGGGGAGCGAACA
rnacentral:rRNA from 1 species